AUGAACGCUAGCGAUAGGCUUAAUACAUGCAAGUUGAGGGGCAGCAUGAUAUACGCGAGUAUAUUGAUGGCGACCGGCGGACGGUGAGUAAUAGGUAGGAGACCUACCUCAGUACAGGGGGAUAGCAUAGAGAAAUCUGUCGGUAAUACCCCAUGAGGUUAUAUGAAUAGAGGCAUAUAAUCAAAGCAUAAGCGAUUAUGCGGUAUGAGAGGGGCCUACUGACCAUUAGCUAGUUGGUGAGGUAAGGGCUCACCAAGGCGAAGAUGGUUAGGGGUUUUGAGAGAGAGACCCCCCACAUUGGAACUGAGAGACGGUCCAGACUCCUACGGGAGGCAGCAGUAGGGAAUAUUGGGCAAUGGGCGAAAGCCUGACCCAGCCAUGCCGCGUGAAGGAAGACGGCCUUAUGGGUUGUAAACUUCUUUACUACGCGAAUAGAGGUUAGUACGAGAUACUAAUAGGAAGGUAGUGUAGUAAAAAAGCACCGGCUAACUCCGUG
rnacentral:rRNA from 1 species